GUGUCCACAAUAUAGGCACAUAUACUAAAAUUGGAACAAUACAGAGAAGAUUAGCCUGGCCCUGUGCAAGGAUGACGUGCAAAAUCGUGAAGCAUUUCUUCUGGGU